rnacentral:lncRNA from 1 species
ACAACUACGAUAAAGCAGUCUUAUCUAGCGCCUGGGCUAUAGGCUGCCUGCUGCAUUACAUGAUGACCGGAGACUUGGUCAACUACUUCGAUGUUAAAGUCAAGGGCAAGAUUUCGCUUCCACCCAGCUUAAUGAGAGACUGCCGAGAUCUGAUCACAAAGUGUCUGAGACAAAACAUGACGCUUGAUCAGUUCUUACAACACGACUGGAUGAAGAGAGCGUAGAAUGAAGACGAGACACGAUACAGAUGAAGAAAGCAGCAAGGUCUUCUGCAGAAAAUUAACAAAACAUUUCUAUAAAAAAACUCAUAAAAACCAACACAAACGUCAUAAAGAAGCCAAGAAGAACCCACAUCUAACUGAUCCAGAACCAGAGCCUGAUCCAGAGUCUGUCCUGAGACCCAAACACUGCAGGAUCAGCGUCGUCAUCAGUGCCAGGAAACUGCCUCUUCUGUGCAGGCAGAAAUGGAAACCCGUGAUGGACUCUGAGGAUGUGGAUGGUUAAAUCUGAGUGCAUUUUGAGGAGGACGUGUUGUUCCUCUAGAGGAUGAGGAUGAAGAAACACCAGCACCAGAACAAAGCAUUGGGUCAGGUUUAUAUGAUAAGCAGAAGGUUUAAAACAAUAAUGAAUUACAAAACUGUUAAAAAAUGAGCAAGCAUUACUAAUCUGGCAAAUAAAUCCCCUGAACACAAAUGAAGAGAACUUUAGAUGAAAUCAGAGAGCUCCCUCAUCCUUCAUGGACAGCAACAGCCCCAAGUUGCUCAGAAACAAAGUCCAGAA